GUUGGCCAAUUAUAGCUUAUUUCAGUAAAGUUACUUUUUUUCCCCCCCCUGGGACAAGUUGAUCUCUGUAGAUCACUACUCCAAUCACAAUCCCGCGUUGCUGUGGCUCUGGCGUAGGCUGGUGGCUACAGCUCCGAUUCGACCCCUAGCCUGGGAACCUCCAUAUGCCGCGUGAGUGGCCCAAAAAAUAGCAAAAAGACAAAAACAAACAAACAAACACCAAACAACUCUCUGAAAGGGAUACUAAUAAGAAUUACUGGGAAAACUGGCUUCUCUAACUAUAGUAUAACUAUGAGAUGCAGUAACAGUAGUAGUAGUAGUAUGUAUAACAGUGGAAAAGUAUCACAGAGAGAAAUCCCACAAAUGUGGCUUAUGAGACCACAAAAACUAAAACAAUCAAACCACAACAUAAAACAAACCUAGUGGAGAAUAUGAAUCAACGUAAUGACCUAGGGGCAAUGAAUUUUGCCACUAGGGAUAUGGGAUCUCUAGAAGCUGCCUUUAAUUUUGCACCAUUUUCUGAUUCUCCAAACACAUCCCCAUUUCUAGGGGCCCAAUUUAGGUUAGGACUGAGCCUAGGAUUCAUGGAUUGUGAUUCCUAACUUAUUUCUAUGUAACUUAUCAAAAUAAACUAGAUCAGUGACUUGAUUUGGCAUACUUUCCUUGUGUUAAGAGACAACCUGAGAUCACGGAUGCUGUGACAGUCUUUGCUGAUUGUCACUCAGUACACAACCCUCCUUCUACCUUAGUGUGAUACAUGGCUGUUCAUAGCAAAUUCUGUAUUUCCCAGCCUCCCUUGCAGCUACGUAAAUUCAUAUAAAUAUGUUUUAGGCAAUGUGAUUUAAAGGGAGGUAAUAACCAAUUUUAGCAAGUGUCCCUGGGAUAUAAAUUUCAUGGCUUCCUUGUUUUGGAACCAAGCAAACUGAUGGCUGGGUAUCAAACAACCAUCCGUCUUGGACCAUGCAAUGGAAGGCAUAUGUUGAUAAUGGUGAACCAACAGAUAGAAGAAUAUCACAACAUAUGAUAGAUCCUGGUAUUCAAGGAACUGCCCCUCCAAGAUACUUUCCUCCAAGACAUGUCUCUAAGAAAUGGAAAAAUAGCAAAGAUGACCUAUGGCUCUGUAGAAAUAUCAUAAUUCCUGCAUAGAUCCUACUAUCCUCUCUGAAGAAUACCCUCUAAAGAAAAGAACACUUGGUAUUAACUGCUUUAGUCACCCUCCAAGCCACAUCACAGAAUCAGCACAAACCCAGACCCAGGCAAUCCCCAUCAAGAGUCCCCAUUGCAGGACCUUUCUAAUACUAAAGGCUACCUUUCUCUACUAAUUUCAGCCAACAAUUGUGGUACUGUGUCUGAAACACCAACCCAAAGGCAGCAGUUCUCAAAUGCUGGCAUAUAAUAUCACUAGAUACAAAGUAUCUUAAAGUAUCUAUUAAAAGUCAGAUCAUCAGGCCCAAUCCCUAGAAAUUUAUAUUUAGUAGCACUAAGAAUUUGCAUCCCAACCAAUACCUAGGUCACUCUGAGGCAACGGUAUUUUGGCUACUCUUUGUGAAAGACAAUUAUAAAUAUUAAUAAUAUUUGCAGGAAUUAUCUAUUAUUUAAUUUACAAGCAAAGAUUUAUUUAAUCUAUACCCACAUACACUCAGUUAAGAGGGAUGAAUCAUUUAGGGGAGACAAUUAGACCUCAGCUUUCAAAUGGCUUGCUCACAAUUCUGGGGAUAUAUCUACACAGAACUUUGCAGCCUAUAAAAUACUUUCUUCACACAUAUGUAGGUCCCACAAAAUGUGAUGAGAUUUCUUGUGACCCUAAUUCACAUGUAAGAAAAUCUGAAAAAGAUGGAUGUGUGAACAUGUAUAACUGCAUUGCUUUGUUGCACAGCAGAAAUUAUCACAACAUUGUGAUACUUCAGUAAAAAUUUUUAAAAUGAAAAAAAAGAAAGAAAGAAAAAGAAAACAUCAAAUUCCAAGGGUUAAGGCUGGUGCUAGAUUUGCCAGAGCCUCUGAUGCUGGCUGGUUCUAAGACUCCAUCAUUCACCUCCUGGCUAUCUCACUGGGAAAGAAGUAAAAGAAUCUGGAAAGUCACAAAGCAAAUAAGUUUUCAUGAGCCAUAGGACAUGGGCAACCCUGUGGUUAGAAAAGGCUGGUAAGAAACAGACAGCAGAGGUGGGAAACAAGGUUCAAAAGAAAUCUCUCAAGGAUGAAGGAGAACGCACCCAAAGAUAAAUUACGUCCUGACUUAGCAAGUUCAACUGCAACUAGCCUUUCAUCCAGAACUGGCAGCAAAUUGUCACAAAGGAAAAUUUUAAAUAGAGAUCUUCCUAUCUUGUCUAUAAUUGUUUGUGAUGAAGUAAUGCCUAGGCCAGAUUGUUGGCCCAUGAUGGAUGAUGGGCAGGCUGCAGCAAAUGUAUAACCAGGGUUCCCCUAACUAUAAGUCUGUUUCUCCACCCUUUAGCAUGAACCAUGUUGAGAACAUCUUUGAUUGUGCUAACCUUGGACAUGAAUAUGUUAUUCAUUUGGACCACACUAAAAAAUUAACAUAUUUAAAACACUAUUAUAUGUUGUAUUAUGUUAAUGAGAGAAACCUCUCCAAGGAAUAAAUUGUACUAAGGAUGCAGGAUGCAUACUAUUUACCAAGAAAACUAGAUUUUCUGUCCUGUUUUUGUUCUAAGUCUAUCCAAAUUCUUCAUUUAACAAAACUGAUCUAUGUAUAAAACUGCAUGAGAACAUUGAUGAGAUUAAUUAUUUUGUUUGCAGCAGGGGAUUUGUGGGCUAUAGAACCAGUGUUCUGGUGGUUCAAGAUAACCUGAUCUGCUCUCAUCUCAUUCAAAUAUGGCAUUAGUGGAUCCAUAGAGCACCAAAGGAAGCAAUCUCAUAGGAGAGAUAACAGACCUUUAGAAUGACUGGCUCAGCAUCCUGGGGAUGUUUCCAGUAAGUCAAUGUGAGAAGGGAGGCACUAUCAUAAACCCUUUACAUCAUGAGGUCUACAGGUUUCUGUAUACGUGGUACCCACCCAUUUUUCAUCACCCACACCUCCUAUUGGUCGCUUUCUGGGGGAUUCUACCUAAGUCACACUGGCUUUCUUCAAAUUUUGUAAAUAUUGUGCAAUCCUUCCUUGUUCCAAGAUCUUUGCUUUUGCUAAACCUCUACCUGGAAUUAUAUUCUCCCUUUCUAACUCCUGGUCAUUCCACAGCUAUGAAAAUAACUGCCGUAUCGUUGGGGAAAGUUUACUUGAUCAUCUCCACUUCAAAUGAGGUUAAGUCUUCUGUCUACAAAUCUCAGGGCCUUCAUGGUUUUCCUUCAUAGCACUCAUUACCAUAAAAAUCUAUAGUAAUCUGGAGUUCCCAUCGAGGCGCAGUGGUUAAUGAAUCUGACUAGGAACCAUGAGGUUGCGGGUUCGAUCCCUGCCCUUGCUCAGUGGGUUAUGGAUCUGGCGUUGCCAUGAGCUGUGGUGUGGUUCACAGAUGUGGCUCGGGUCCCACGUUGCUGUGGCUCCGACGUAGGCUGGCAGCUACAGCUCCGAUUAGACCCCUAGCCUGGGAACCUCCAUAUGCCG
rnacentral:lncRNA from 1 species